AACGAAACAGGAUUAUUAUAAAAUAUUAACAAUCAAUGAGAAUGAUGCCCUCGAAAUUUCAUGCAACACCAAGGAUCCAAUUAAAUUUUUAUAUCCAAGUGGCAGUGAAACAAGUCAUCCAGAGUUGGAAAAUAAAAUUUUUGGACAUUACUUUAUUGACGUACGAUGGUGAGCUCAAAGUAAGGGUCAACUCAACAUUCGAAAAAUUACCUAUUAUUAGUCAUAUAAAUCCUUUUGACAAUAAAUAUUCUGUUCAGGUGGUAUCAGCCAAUAGUCAAUGGUUUCCAAAUAAAUUGUUGGAUUUUAAUAGAUACCCAUUAAAAAUACUUAGUCACUCUGCUGAUGAUAUAUCCAUACAAGAAUACGAAAAGAACAUGAAAUUUGCUAGAAUUUUGGAAGAAGUGAUGAAAUUUGAGUAUAGGUCCAUAAUUAUGCAAGAACCAAAUAUAACAGAAACUGAUAGUAUUAAAAGAAAAUAUAUAAUCAUGACAAAUUAUGAUCGCAUGAAUUCUCAUAACGAAAAUCCUCCUGAUAUUACCUUUAAUAGCAAAGAUGAUGUACAGUAUUUUAUUCAAAAUACAAAUUUGAAUAUUCGAACACUAAAUUUUGAACGUAUAUAUGCUGUUAUACCAGGAAACGCAAAAUUUGACAAUGAAAUCGAACUUUCAUCAGAAUUUUGGAACAUGAUCCUGGCAACAAUUAGUUUAGUUGCAAUAAUACGACUAACGGCAUAUUUAUUAAAAUUCAACUGGCAAACUUUGAAUAUCAGUCAAAUUAUAAUUGGAAUGGGUACUGAGAAUGAACCCCAAAAUUGGAGUGAAAGAAUAAUUUUCGGCUCACUCUUAAUUGCAUGCCUUGCCUAUACAAGUUAUUUUUACACUAUAAUUCUUGAUAUCAGUUUUCGAACUGCUACUGAAAUUUUAACAAUCGAUGAACUUCUUAAAUCAUCUUUGCAUCCAAUUAUGGAUGUCUAUGUUUGGUUGGCACUUUUGAAAUCAGAAAAUUCAAGUAUUAAACAAUUAAAAAACAAGGUAUCGUCUCAAAUACAAUAUAGAAAUUUAACCACACCAGAAGCAUGUCUAAAUUAUUUGGCUGACCAUCAGAAUAUAACUUGUAUAAUUCAUGAAGCUGCUAAAUACAUUAACGAAUAUGAAUCUAAGUACGGCAAAGAAAAUAAAUUUAAAAUAUUGAAAGAAAAUAUUGAAUAUCUUCCGCAUAGUUUUACUGUUAAAAAAAAUUCACCUUUCAUCGAUCGUUUUAAUGAAAUAAUUCUGAAAGUUUCAGAAUUUGGAUUGCUUAAAGAUAUUUAUGAACCUUAUGUACGUCCACUAAUUAAUAAUUUGGAACCUGAACUAAUAACAAAAGAAAAACUCCUACCGGUAUUACUUUGUAUACUAAUCACUGGAUAUUCUCUAUCGAUAAUUGUUUUUCUUCUCGAAAUAAUUAUAGCAAAAAGAAGAAGAAAAUUUUUCGAGAAACCAAAAUUUCGAUUUGUACUUUAGAUAACAUCAAAGUUAUUGUUUCUGAUAAUAAUAUGAGAAAAAAAUCUUCUCUUAGUAUAGAUAAACACUGCAAAUUUUACAGUUUCCCGAACGAAGCAAUUCACUGUGAUUUGGGAUUUUAUACACGGAGAAAAUUUGUUCCGGAUAUUUUACUGAAUUUUAACUGAAAGUUGGGAUAUAGUUGCACAAAAGGAAUUUUUCAAAAUAUUUUUUUUAUUUUUUGUAGUGAUGAUAGUUAAAACUUGAUAUGAUAUUUUAAUUUAUUACAAGCUAGUACUGUAAAUAUAUGAAAAAUUUGAAUCAUUAAACAUUGGUUUAUAUUACGAUAACUAUAGCCAGCUCUCCUGAGUAUUUCCUUUCUGUGCACUACAUAAUUCAA